rnacentral:lncRNA from 1 species
GAAAAGAAAAACUAAAGUGGAAGUAACAUUAUAUUGCUACUAUAUUGUUAGGCGAUUUUUAGAAAAAAAAUAUAUUGUUAGGCGAUGAUAUUGAUAAUUGGAACGAUAAAGAUCCAUUAUACUGUAAUAACAUAUUACAUAUCUAAAUAAAGAUUGCUUAACUUUUGAAGGAAAAAAAAAACUCUGAUGAGAAUUGUUGGUGAUCAUGAUAAUAAACAACUUAUGAUUGCGCAC